CUACGUGCCAGCAGCCGCGGUAAUACGUAGGGUGCAAGCGUUAUCCGGAAUUAUUGGGCGUAAAGGGCUCGUAGGCGGUUCGUCGCGUCCGGUGUGAAAGUCCAUCGCUUAACGGUGGAUCUGCGCCGGGUACGGGCGGGCUGGAGUGCGGUAGGGGAGACUGGAAUUCCCGGUGUAACGGUGGAAUGUGUAGAUAUCGGGAAGAACACCAAUGGCGAAGGCAGGUCUCUGGGCCGUCACUGACGCUGAGGAGCGAAAGCGUGGGGAGCGAACAGGAUUAGAUACCCUGGUAGUCCACGCCGUAAACGGUGGAUGCUGGAUGUGGGGCCCGUUCCACGGGUUCCGUGUCGGAGCUAACGCGUUAAGCAUCCCGCCUGGGGAGUACGGCCGCAAGGCUAAAACUCAAAGAAAUUGACGGGGGCCCGCACAAGCGGCGGAGCAUGCGGAUUAAUUCGAUGCAACGCGAAGAACCUUACCUGGGCUUGACAUGUUCCCGACGACGCCAGAGAUGGCGUUUCCCUUCGGGGCGGGUUCACAGGUGGUGCAUGGUCGUCGUCAGCUCGUGUCGUGAGAUGUUGGGUUAAGUCCCGCAACGAGCGCAACCCUUGCCCCGUGUUGCCAGCACGUUAUGGUGGGAACUCACGGGGGACCGCCGGGGUUAACUCGGAGGAAGGUGGGGAUGACGUCAGAUCAUCAUGCCCCUUACGUCCAGGGCUUCACGCAUGCUACAAUGGCCGGUACAACGGGAUGCGAC
rnacentral:rRNA from 1 species